UACGGAGGAUGCAAGCGUUAUCCGGAAUCAUUGGGUUUAAAGGGUCCGUAGGCGGUUUAAUAAGUCAGUGGUGAAAGCCCAUCGCUCAACGAUGGAACGGCCAUUGAUACUGUUAAACUUGAAUUAUUAGGAAGUAACUAGAAUAUGUAGUGUAGCGGUGAAAUGCUUAGAGAUUACAUGGAAUACCAAUUGCGAAGGCAGGUUACUACUAAUAUAUUGACGCUGAUGGACGAAAGCGUGGGGAGCGAACAGG
rnacentral:ncRNA from 3 species